rnacentral:tRNA from 1 species
UCCCUGUUGUUCUAGCGGUUAGGAUUCCUGGCUCUCACCCAGGCGUCCCGGGUUCAGCUCCCGGUCAAGGAG